UAGAUAGAUAACGUGUAAGUCCACGCCGGUAACCGAAAUGAAGUGCUAAGUGUUAGGGGGUUUCCGCCCCUUAGUGCUGCCGCUAACGCAUUAAGCACUCCGCCUGGGGAGUACGACCGCAAGGUUGAACUCAAAGGAAGUGACGGGGACCCGCACAAGCGGGUGAGCAUUUGGUUUAAUUCGAAGCAACGCGAAGAACCUUACCACAUCUUGACAUCCUUUGACCGCUCUAGAGAUAGAGUCUUCCUCGCUUCAGUGAGGGACAAAGUGACAGGUGGUGCAUGGUUGUCGUCAGCUCGUGCCG
rnacentral:rRNA from 1 species